UAGGCAGGAUGUGGAAGCGAGGACUAAAGACUCGUGGAGCUGACCUGUACUAAUAAGCCGAUAUCUUGAAAACA
rnacentral:rRNA from 1 species